rnacentral:misc_RNA from 1 species
AGAUACUCCAAGUUUGAUACUUGAUCUCCCUUUUGACUUCCAAGGUUCCUUCUAAAGAAUUUCAAUCUUAUACUACAGUGACAGAGUAUAGCAAAGGUACUUCCACAAUAGACAAUGUGCUAUAUUUGUGGACAUUCAUAUGCAGAUACAUUUUUUUGUCCUGAUUCUGCUAGACCCUCUGUAGAGUAUCUUCCUUUAGCCUACUCCCUAGCUCUCAGUGGUCAUUAUGCUUUGGGCAACAUGAUGCUAGGCUUGAUUUUCCAUGCUCUAUCCUG